rnacentral:rRNA from 1 species
CCAAUAGCGUAUAUUAAAGUUGUUGCAGUUAAAAAGCUCGUAGUUGGAUUUCUGUUAAUAAUUUAUAUAUAAUAUUUUUAAUAUUUAUAUAAUAUUAACAUAAUUCAUAUUACUAUAAUUUUUAUUAGUAUAUGAAAUUUUACUUUGAGAAAAUUAGAGUGCUUAAAGCAGGCAUAUGCCUUGAAUACUCCAGCAUGGAAUAAUAUAAAAGAUUUUUAUCUUUUUUAUUGGUUCUAAGAUAAAAAUAAUGAUUAAUAGGGACAGUUGGGGGCAUUUGUAUUUAA